CUUGAUAAAUUAUAAGAGGUCCUGCCUGCCCCGUGAUUUAAAUUUAACGGCCGCGGUACCUUGACCGUGCAAAGGUAGCAUAAUCAAUUGUCCCUUAAAUCAGGACUAGUAUGAAUGGCCCCACGAGAGUUUAACUGUCUCCCCCCUUUAAUCAAUGAAAUUAACUUUCCCGUGAAGAGACGGGAAUAAAACUAUAAGACGAUAAGACCCUAUGGAGCUUUAAACUUAUUAUCACUUAUUCCACACUACAACAACUUAUAUAUAAUAAAAAUGCUCUUUAAUAGUUUUUGGUUGGGGCGACCCUGGAGAAAAAUACAUCCUCCAGAUUGAAAACAAUAACCCUUAUGUAAGAACUACAAUUCAAACAAACAAAAAUUUGACAAAACUGACCCAGAGCUACCUGAUCAGUGAACCAAGUUACCCUAGGGAUAACAGCGCAAUCCAUUUUAAGAGCUCCUAUCGACAAAUGGGUUUACGACCUCGAUGUUGGAUUAGGGUAUCCUGGCAACGCAGCCGUUGCUAAUGGUUCGUUUGUUCAACGACUAACACCCU
rnacentral:rRNA from 1 species